GUCAGACUCUGAAGAGUCAAAAGGCUCAGACCAUGAGGAAAACCCCGCAAACGCCCCUGGAAGAGCGAUAGUGCUACCGCCGGUAAAGGCAAAGCACCGGCUAAAACGCCUAGAUUAUCCAUUCCAGAUACUCGGGAUAAUAACCCCAAUUAUAACCUGGAUCCAUUAGAGGGUUCCACCUCCAACCUGCAACUUCAAGUGAUUGACGAAUACUGUGCAG